GGGCCUUUAGCUCAGCCGGUCAGAGCAACCGGCUCAUAACCGGUUGGUCCGGGAUUCGAGUCCCUGAAGGCCCACCA
rnacentral:tRNA from 1 species